UACAGAGGGGGCAAGCGUUAUUCGGAAUUAUUGGGCGUAAAGGGCGCGUAGGCGGCAUGGCAAGUGGAUGGUGAAAUCCCUCGGCUUAACCGAGGAACUGCCGUCCAAACUGCUUCGCUUGAGACCGGGAGAGGUGAGUGGAAUUCCCAGUGUAGCGGUGAAAUGCGUAGAUAUUGGGAGGAACACCAGUGGCGAAGGCGGCUCGCUGGGACGGUACUGACGCUGAGACGCGAAAGCGUGGGGAGCAAACAGG
rnacentral:rRNA from 1 species